AUAUGGUGAAGCCGCGAAUGGCUCAUUACAACAGCCGUUGUUUCUUGGAUCUUAAUUUACUUGGAUAACUGUGGUAAUUCUAGAGCUAAUACAUGCAACUAAGCUCCGACCUUACGGGAGGAGCGCAUUUAUUAGACCAAGAUCCAAUCGGGCUUUGCCCGCUGAUCUGGUGACUCUGAAUAACUUUGCUGAUCACAUGGUCCUAGCACCGGUGACAUAUCUUUCAAGUGUCUGCCCUAUCAACUUUCGAUGGUAGUUUAUGUGCCUACCAUGGUUGUAACGGGUAACGGAGAAUAAGGGUUCGACUCCGGAGAGGGAGCCUGAGAAAUGGCUACCACAUCCAAGGAAGGCAGCAGGCGCGCAAAUUACCCACUCUCAGCUCGAGGAGGUAGUGACGAAAAAUAACGAGACGGUUCUCUUUGAGGCCCGUCAUCGGAAUGGGUACAAUUUAAACCCUUUAACGAGGAUCUAUUGGAGGGCAAGUCUGGUGCCAGCAGCCGCGGUAAUUCCAGCUCCAAUAGCAUAUACCAAUUCUGCUGCUGUUAAAAAGCUCGUAGUUGGAUCUUUCCCGAGGGUCUAGUCUGUCUCAAGGACAUGUACUGGAUUCCGAGGGUACUUUAGCUGGUUUUCUCAUGGUGCUCUUCAUUGGGUGCCAUGGGUGGCUAGCACGUUUACUUUGAAAAAAUUAGAGUGCUCAAAACAGGCGUUAAUGCCCGUAUAGUGGUGCAUGGAAUAAUGGAAUAGGAUCUCGGUUCUAUUUUGUUGGUUUUAGGAGCAGAGAUAAUGAUUAAGAGGGACAGACGGGGGCAUUCGUAUUGCGGCGUUAGAGGUGAAAUUCUUGGAUCGCCGCAAGACGAACAACUGCGAAAGCAUUGCCAAGAAGCUC
rnacentral:rRNA from 1 species